GACGAACGCUGGCGGCGUGCUUAACACAUGCAAGUCGAACGGAAAGGCCCUGCUUUUGUGGCGUGCUCGAGUGGCGAACGGGUGUGUAACACGUGAGUAACCUGCCCUUGACUUUGGGAUAACUUCAGGAAACUGGGGCUAAUAUCGGAUAGAAGCUCCUGCUGCAUGGGGUGGGUUGGAAAGUUUCGGCGUUUGUGGAUGGACUCGCGGCUUAUCAGCUUGUUGGUGGAGUAGUGGCUUACCAAGGCUUUGACGGGUAGCCUGCCUGAGAGGGUGACCGGCCACAUUGGUACUGAGAUACGGACCAGUCUCCUACGGGACGCAGCAGUGGAGAAUAUUGCACAAUGGGCGGAAGCGUGAUGCAGCAACGCCGCGUGCGGGAUGACGGCCUUCGGGUUGUAAACAGCUUUCGCCGGUGACGAAGCGUUAGUGACGGUAAUGGAUAAAGAAGCACCGGCUAACUACGUG
rnacentral:rRNA from 1 species